GGUGGCCACACUGAGCGCUUGUCUCUUAUUGGAGCUCUGCUAGCUCUCUACUGACACCUCUGGCCAAAUUUAAUAUGACACAUUUCUGCUAACCUCAGGUUUUUACAUUAUCAUAUGUUACUUUGUGACUAUAUGGGCCUGAGGUCUUGCUAUAUGUGAUUCUGCACCGCCGGCUUCCUUCCUCUUAAUUUCAUCCAGAGGAGUCUUUCUGCGUCCUGAUAGCGGUGUCCUUUCUCUGGGGUGUGCAGGGUUGAUUAAGCGCUGCGAUUGGUAUGUGUGUGUUUUUAUCUGCACCUUUUGAUGUAUUUAUUGCCA